rnacentral:rRNA from 1 species
GAUGAACGCUGGCGGCGUGCUUAACACAUGCCAGUCGAACGGGAAACCUUUUAUUGAAGCUUCGGCAGGUUUAGCUGGUUUCUAGUGGCGGACGGGUGAGUAACGCGUUGGUAACCUGCCUUAUACAGGGGGAUAACAACCAGAAAUGGUUGCUAAUACCGCAUAAGCGCACAGGACCGCAUGGUCCGGUGUGAAAAACUCCGGUGGUAUAAGAUGGACCCGCGUGGGAUUAGCUAGUUGGCAGGGUAACGGCCUACCAAGGCGACGGUCCAUAGCCGGCAUGGGAGGGGGGACGCCGACAAUGGGACUACGGCACGGACCAGAAUCCUACGGGAGGCAGCAGUGGGGAAUAUUGCACAAUCGAGGAAACCGUGAUGCAGCGACGCCGCGUGAAGGAAGCAGUAUUUAGGUAUGUAAACUUCUAUCAGCAGGGAAGAUAGUGACGGUACCUGAUGAAGAAGCCCCGGCUAACUACGUG